rnacentral:rRNA from 1 species
UACGAAGGGGGCUAGCGUUGUUCGGAAUUACUGGGCGUAAAGCGCACGUAGGCGGAUAUUUAAGUCAGGGGUGAAAUCCCGCAGCUCAACUGCGGAACUGCCUUUGAUACUGGGUAUCUUGAGUAUGGAAGAGGUUAGUGGAAUUGCGAGUGUAGAGGUGAAAUUCGUAGAUAUUCGCAGGAACACCAGUGGCGAAGGCGGCUAACUGGUCCAUAACUGACGCUGAGACACGAAAGCGUGGGGAGCAAACAGG